GACGAACGCUGGCGGCGUGCUUAACACAUGCAAGUCGAACGGAAAGGCCCUGCUUGCAGGGUACUCGAGUGGCGAACGGGUGAGUAACACGUGGGUGAUCUGCCCUGCACUUCGGGAUAAGCCUGGGAAACUGGGUCUAAUACCGGAUAGGAGCCAUUUUUAGUGUGAUGGUUGGAAAGUUUUUUCGGUGUAGGAUGAGCUCGCGGCCUAUCAGCUUGUUGGUGGGGUAAUGGCCUACCAAGGCGGCGACGGGUAGCCGGCCUGAGAGGGUGGACGGCCAAAUUGGGACUGAGAUACGGCCCAGACUCCUACGGGAGGCAGCAGUGGGGAAUAUUGCACAAUGGGCGCAAGCCUGAUGCAGCGACGCCGCGUGGGGGAUGACGGCCUGCGGGUUGUAAACUCCUUUCGCUAGGGACGAAGCUUUUGUGACGGUACCUAGAUAAGAAGCACCGGCUAACUACGUG
rnacentral:rRNA from 1 species